rnacentral:rRNA from 1 species
AUUGAACGCUGGCGGCAUGCCUUACACAUGCAAGUCGAACGGUAACAGGUCUUUCGGGAUGCUGACGAGUGGCGAACGGGUGAGUAAUACAUCGGAACGUGCCUAGUAGUGGGGGAUAACUACUCGAAAGAGUGGCUAAUACCGCAUGAGAUCUAUGGAUGAAAGCAGGGGACCUUCGGGCCUUGUGCUACUAGAGCGGCCGAUGGCAGAUUAGGUAGUUGGUGGGAUAAAAGCUUACCAAGCCUACGAUCUGUAGCUGGUCUGAGAGGACGAACAGCCACACUGGGACUGAGACACGGCCCAGACGCCUACGGGAGGCAGCUGUGGUGAAUUUUGGACAAUGGGCGCAAGCCUGAUCCAGCAAUGCCGCGUGCAGGAUGAAGGCCUUCGGGUUGUAAACUGCUUUUGUACGGAACGAAAAGUCUUGGGUUAAUACCCUGGGAUCAUGACGGUACCGUAAGAAUAAGCACCGGCUAACUACGUGCCAGCAGCCGCAGUAA